CCUACGGGUGGCAGCAGUGAGGAAUAUUGGUCAAUGGACUAGAGUCUGAACCAGCCACGUAGCGUGAAGGAUGACUGCCCUAUGGGUUGUAAACUUCUUUUAUAUGGGAAUAAAAUGUUCCACGUGUGGGAUUUUGUAUGUACCAUAUGAACAAGGAAAGGCUAACUCCGCGCCAGCAGCCGCGGUACGCCGGUGGAGCGGAGCGUUAACCGGAUUUCUUGGGUUUAACGGAAGCGUAGGUGGAUUGUUAAGUCAGUUGUGAAAGUUUGCGGGUCAACCGUAGAACUGCAUUUGAAACUGGCAGUCGUGAGUACAGUAGAGGUGUGCGGAAUUCGUGGUGUAGCGGUGAAAUGCUUAGAUAUCACGAAGAACUCCGAUUGCGAAGGCAGCUCACUGGACCGCAACUGACACUGAGGCUCGAAAGUGUGGGUAUCAAACAGGAUUAGAUACCCUAGUAGUC
rnacentral:rRNA from 1 species